UAUUGUUAUUUGUCAUAUUGACAAACCAAAAAUAUUUAUAGAAUGAACAUUUGUAUCCUUGCUUAUCAGUAAAACAGCUUAAAUAAUUCAUACUUCAUUCAUAUGUACAAAGCGAUGAGAAAUUUGUAUUUGUUGAUUGGGGUGGGUUUUUACACUUUUACGUUUAAUUUUCAACUUUCCACAUUUUCCUAAGAAAAAAAUAUAGCAGCAUGACAAGUCAAGAAAGAAUCACUCAAUCUAUUAGAAAUUCUGGCACAUCAUCUUACUACUCUAGAAGAACCGCUCCAGGUCCUCACGAAUCUCGAUGGAGGCGAUUUAAAAAUUAUUUGUAUGACAAAGAGACUAAAUAUGUAUGUGGCAGAUCGGGAAUUAGUUGGGGUACUAAAAAUUAAGUAGCCUUUGUUUAUACUUAUUUCAAAAUAUUCGGUUUUUGUAAAAAAAUUUCUUCUUAUAGUGAAAAUUAUUGGCUAUUAUGUAUUAUUUAUCACAGGAGUGUCUUGUUUAUUUUCAUUCAUAUUAGGAAUUACUCUGUACAUGAUUGAAAGAUCUCCAGUACCCCUUAUGCCAAAAACCAAGUAUUUAAUGGAAAAUCCACCUGGAUUUACUUUUCUUCCUAACAAAUAUCCUGAAAUGCCCCUUAUAUGGUAUUAUAAUGGUAUUGAAAGUAGUGUUCAUUCGAAAACAGUUAACGAUUUUUUUGAAGUCUAUGACGAUGCAGUCUCAAAAAAUGCAGACAAUUAUGUGGAUUGUGAAAAAGAAAACCCUAAAGAUCACAAUAAGAGUUGCAUCUUUAGAAGAGAUGCUUUAGGUCCAUGUGCUCAACCAACUUAUGGUUCAAAGUCACCCUGUAUUUAUUUAAAACUAAACAAACAUCCGGGUUGGGUACCAAAAUAUUAUGGUGCUUUACCUGAUAAAAUGCCAGAAGAACUUAAAAAACUAAUAAAGGCUUCCACAAACAGAAAGAAAAUAUGGGUUUACUGUCACCCUAAUAAACCAGCUGAUGAAGAUCAUUUAGGGAAUAUCAGUUACUAUCCCAAUCAAGAAAUUCAAGAAUACUACUUCCCUUUUAAUUUUCAAAAAUAUUAUUUAAGUCCUGUAGUAGCAGUUCAAAUAAAUGAUGUUGAGCCGGGUUAUCUAAGUGUUGUAAGGUGUUCAGUGUGGGCUGAUAACAUUGCACCUAAAUUCCAAUCUGUUUUGAUUUCAUUUUAUAUCGGAUCCCCAAAAUAAUCAGUGUCAAGUAAAGAUAAUAGUAAAUAACGUAUUUGAAGUACAAAAAAAAAAACAAAAUGUAUUUUACCUUACGCUUUCGGCGGCGAUUACAGAGGUAUCACUACUCGUUCUGGAUGAGAUUUUCUUUUCAAAUUCUCUGAACUCUUUGGCUAUUUUAGU